UGAGCACUGCCCCUUUUUCAUUUUGAAG
rnacentral:piRNA from 1 species